rnacentral:sRNA from 1 species
AAAUAUCUUUCAAUUUUUAUCUUUCUUUUAAGAUCCAUUUCACUAAUAAUAAUUUUAUUUUCAUCAUCUCACCAUUAAUGUGGGUGUAAGAAAGUUAUACAAAAUACAUUCAUCUAUGUAGCCAUAAGACUAAUUAUUUUGGUUUCGCUCCGAUCUUGUCCUAAACAUAUGUCAUUUCUGAAUGAAAUGAAUGGUUAUUAAAAAAUGAUGAAUAAUAAUUAUUUAGUUUAGCUCUUGAGAAUAUUUUUAUAUUCAUUUUUUUUUGUCAUCUUUCUAUACUCAUUUAUUUAUAAGUUUCUGUAAUUUUCUAAAUUUAUUUCUAACAUUAUUUGUAUUUGUUAUUAAUAUGAAUACAUAACAGUCACAUUUUCUACACCUUUGUUCUACCAAUCAGAUUUUAACAGCCAAAGUUUCUACAGUCAAAGUUUUACAGCCAAAUUCUCUACAGCUCAAGUUUUUAAAGUCAAAGCUUCUAAAGCGUAAACUAACAGUCGCUACUAAUCGGCCCCUUUGUUUUCCUUCUUUUUUAAAAGUUUCAUAAACGAGACUUUCAAACAAAUAAUUAUUAAAAGAUUUUUUUAUCUUCUCCCCUAAAUAAUAAAAAUUUUAUACAAGUUUACAUAUGUUUUUUC